UACGGAGGUGGCAAGCGUUACUCGGAAUCAUUGGGUGUAAAGGGCAAGUAGGCGGCUUGUUAAGUGAGGGGUGAAAUCUCUCGAUUCAAUCGGGAGACUGCCUUUCAAACUACCAAGCUUGAAGCAGGAAGAGGGAAAUGGAAUUCUCGGUGUAAGGGUGAAAUCUGUAGAUAUCGAGAAGAACACCAGCGGCGAAGGCGAUUUCCUGGUCCUGUCUUGACGCUGAAUUGCGAAAGCUAGGGGAGCAAACAGAAUUAGAUACUCUGGUAGUCCUAGCCGUAAACGAUGAGUACUAGGUGUUGGGCCGUAAGGUUCAGCGCCGUCGCUAACGCAUUAAGUACUCCACCUGGGAACUACGGUCGCAAGGCUAAA
rnacentral:rRNA from 1 species